rnacentral:misc_RNA from 1 species
GAGGUGGAAUACGAUAUUUGGUAUACAUAUUUCAAGCUGUGAAGGCAUCUUCUCAAAUUGUGGUAAAAGGAAAAGCCAAAUAAGGGGAGCCCCCAAAUGGCCAACUCUUCAAAAAAUUUCGAUCCUGCAUUCCAGGGAGUCGGCCAAAGAUUAGGGACAGAGAUCUGGCGUAUUGAGAACUUCCAACCAGUUUCUUUGCCAAAGUCUGAUCAUGGUAAAUUUUAUUCAGGGGAUUCUUACAUUGUUUUACAGACAACUGCUG